CCUACGGGCGGCAGCAGUGGGGAAUUUUGGGCAAUGCGCGCAAGCCUGACCCAGCAACGCCGCGUGAAGGAAGAAGGCUUUCGGGUUGUAAACUUCUUUUCUGAGGGACGAAAAAAGUGACGGUACCUCAGGAAUAAGCCACGGCUAACUACGUACCAGCAGCCGCGGUAAUACGUAGGUGGCCAGCGUUAUUCGGAUUUACUGGGGGUAAAGGGCGUGUAGGCGGGAAAGUAAGUCAGAUGUGAAAACUCAGGGCUCAACCCUGAGCAUGCCUUUGAAACUGUUUUACUUGAGUGCUAGAGAGGAAAGCAGAAUUCCGGGUGUAGCGGUGAAAUGCGUAGAUAUACGGAGGAACACCAGUGGCGAAGGCGGAUUGCUGGACAGUAACUGACGCUGAGGCGCGAAAGCGUGGGGAGCAAACAGGAUUAGAUACCCGGGUAGUC
rnacentral:rRNA from 1 species